UACGGGGUGGGCAAGCGUUGUUCGGAAUUACUGGGCGUAAAGGGCUCGUAGGCGGCCAACUAAGUCAGACGUGAAAUCCCUCGGCUUAACCGGGGAACUGCGUCUGAUACUGGAUGGCUUGAGUUCGGGAGAGGGAUGCGGAAUUCCAGGUGUAGCGGUGAAAUGCGUAGAUAUCUGGAGGAACACCGGUGGCGAAGGCGGCAUCCUGGACCGACACUGACACUAAGGAGCGAAAGCCAGGGGAGCAAACGGG
rnacentral:rRNA from 1 species